UACGGGAGGAGCAAGCGUUGUUCGGAUUUACUGGGCGUAAAGGGCGCGUAGGCGGCCACCGCAAGUCGACUGUGAAAUCUCCGGGCUUAACCCGGAAAGGUCAGCCGAUACUGCGGGGCUAGAGUGCAGAAGGGGCAACUGGAAUUCUCGGUGUAGCGGUGAAAUGCGUAGAUAUCGAGAGGAACACCUGCGGCGAAGGCGGGUUGCUGGGCUGACACUGACGCUGAACUGCGAAAGCUAGGGGAGCGAACGGG
rnacentral:rRNA from 1 species